AGAGUUUGAUCCUGGCUCAGGAUGAACGCUAGCGGCAGGCUUAACACAUGCAAGUCGAGGGGCAGCGGGGAGGAAGCUUGCUUUCUCCGCCGGCGACCGGCGCACGGGUGAGUAACACGUAUGCAACCUGCCCCUGUCAGGGGGACAACCCGCCGAAAGGCGGGCUAAACCCGCGUACAUGCCACCGGGGCAUCCCGGAGGCAGGAAAGGCUUCGGCCGGACAGGGAUGGGCAUGCGGCGCAUUAGGCAGUAGGCGGGGUAACGGCCCACCUAACCGACGAUGCGUAGGGGUUCUGAGAGGAAGGUCCCCCACACUGGUACUGAGACACGGACCAGACUCCUACGGGAGGCAGCAGUGAGGAAUAUUGGUCAAUGGUCGGGAGACUGAACCAGCCAAGCCGCGUGAGGGAGGAAGGUACAGAGUAUCGUAAACCUCUUUUGUCAGGGAACAAAGGCGGGGACGUGUCCCCGGAUGAGUGUACCUGAAGAAAAAGCAUCGGCUAACUCCGUGCCAGCAGCCGCGGUAAUACGGAGGAUGCGAGCGUUAUCCGGAUUUAUUGGGUUUAAAGGGUGCGCAGGCGGUCUGUUAAGUCAGCGGUCAAAGCCCGGGGCUCAACCCCGGCCCGCCGUUGAAACUGGCAGUCUCGAGUUGGAGAGAAGUAUGCGGAAUGCGCGGUGUAGCGGUGAAAUGCAUAGAUAUCGCGCAGAACUCCGAUUGCGAAGGCAGCAUGCCGGCUCCACACUGACGCUGAGGCACGAAAGCGUGGGUAUCGAACAGGAUUAGAUACCCUGGUAGUCCACGCAGUAAACGAUGAAUGCUGGCUGUCCGGGGGGAUUGACCCCUGGGUGGCGAAGCGAAAGCGAUAAGCAUUCCACCUGGGGAGUACGCCGGCAACGGUGAAACUCAAAGGAAUUGACGGGGGCCCGCACAAGCGGAGGAACAUGUGGUUUAAUUCGAUGAUACGCGAGGAACCUUACCCGGGCUCAAACGGGGAGUGACUCAGGCAGAGACGCCUGUUUCCCACGGGACACUGCCCGAGGUGCUGCAUGGUUGUCGUCAGCUCGUGCCGUGAGGUGUCGGCUUAAGUGCCAUAACGAGCGCAACCCCCGCGUGCAGUUGCUAACAGAUAACGCUGAGGACUCUGCACGGACUGCCGGCGCAAGCCGCGAGGAAGGCGGGGAUGACGUCAAAUCAGCACGGCCCUUACGUCCGGGGCGACACACGUGUUACAAUGGGUGGUACAGCGGGAAGCCAGGCGGCGACGCCGAGCGGAACCCGAAAUCCACUCUCAGUUCGGAUCGGAGUCUGCAACCCGACUCCGUGAAGCUGGAUUCGCUAGUAAUCGCGCAUCAGCCAUGGCGCGGUGAAUACGUUCCCGGGCCUUGCACACACCGCCCGUCA
rnacentral:rRNA from 1 species